rnacentral:snoRNA from 1 species
GUGCUGGGAUUACAGGCUUGAGCCACCGCGCCCGGCCUAGGUUUUAUUGUCGUUCCCCCUGCUUAAAGCACUUGAUGCAUAACUAUCUCUGUCUAACUCCACUCCGUAGUAAGACAGAGACGCUUGGCUUCAAACAU